rnacentral:rRNA from 1 species
UGUCCUCUAAAUAGGGACCUGUAUGAACGGCUAAAUGAGUAUUUAACUGUCUCUUUUAACCAAUCAGUGAAACUGAUUUUCCAGUACAAAAGCUGGAAUAUUAUUAUAAGACGAGAAGACCCUGUGGAGCUUUAAAUUUUACCAACGUACGAUUAUUAAACAUACGCAUGCUAACAAAUUUUAAGUUGGGGCAACUUUGGAGAAAAACAAAACCUCCAAGAAAAAGUGAUAUCUAAAUAAGAUAAACAAAUCAAAACAAACAUUGACCCAGUAAAACUGAUUAACGAACCAAGUUACCCCAGGGAUAACAGCGCUAUCUUCUUCAAGAGUUCAUAUCGACAAGAAGGUUUACGACCUCGAUGUUGGAUCAGGACACCCAAAUGGUGUAGCAGCUAUUAAAGGUUCGUUUGUUCAACGAUUAACAGU